rnacentral:tRNA from 1 species
GUUAAUCUAGUUUAUAAAAAUAUUAGCUUGUCGAGUUAAAGAUGCAAUGUGUUGCGGUUAAUU